UUUUAAACAUGCAAGUCGAGCGGUAACAGACAUAAAGAUUCAGCUUGCUGAAUCCGGUGCUGACGAGCGGCGAACGGGUGAGUAACGCGUAGGAAUCUACCCAGUAGCGGGGGAUAGCCCGAGGAAACUCGGAUUAAUACCGCAUACGCCCUGAGGGGGAAAGGGGGCAGUUUACUGCUCUCACUAUUGGAUGAGCCUGCGUAAGAUUAGCUUGUUGGUAGGGUAAUGGCCUACCAAGGCGACGAUCUUUAGCUGGUCUGAGAGGACGAUCAGCCACAUUGGGACUGAGACACGGCCCAGACAUCUACGGAUGGCAGCAGUUAAGAAUAUUGGACAAUGGGGGCAACCCUGAUCCAGGUAUACCGCGUGUGUGAAGAAGGCCCUAGGGUUGUAAAGCACUUUAAUCAGAGAAGAAGCAUUUUAAGUUAAUACCUUAUUAUGUUGACGUUAC
rnacentral:rRNA from 1 species